rnacentral:rRNA from 1 species
UACAGAGGGUGCAAGCGUUGUUCGGAUUUACUGGGCGUAAAGCGUACGCAGACGGCUUGGUAGGUCGGAUGUGAAAGCCCCGGGCUCAACCCGGGAAUUGCAUCCGAAACCACCUCGCUCGAGUGUGGGAGAGGGAAGCGGAAUUCCUGGUGUAGAGGUGAAAUUCGUAGAUAUCAGGAGGAACACCGGCGGCGAAGGCGGCUUCCUGGCCCAUUACUGACGUUCAGGUACGAAAGCGUGGGGAGCAAACAGG